UGAGGAAUAUUGGACAAUGGGCGCAAGCCUGAUCCAGCCAUGCCGCGUGCAGGAUGACGGUCCUAUGGAUUGUAAACUGCUUUUGUACAGGAAGAAACACUCCCUCGUGAGGGAGCUUGACGGUACUGUAAGAAUAAGGAUCGGCUAACUCCGUGCCAGCAGCCGCGGUAAUACGGAGGAUCCAAGCGUUAUCCGGAAUCAUUGGGUUUAAAGGGUCCGUAGGCGGUUUAAUAAGUCAGUGGUGAAAGCCCAUCGCUCAACGGUGGAACGGCCAUUGAUACUGUUAAACUUGAAUUAUUAGGAAGUAACUAGAAUAUGUAGUGUAGCGGUGAAAUGCUUAGAGAUUACAUGGAAUACCAAUUGCGAAGGCAGGUUACUACUAAUGGAUUGACGCUGAUGGACGAAAGCGUGGGUAGCGAACAGGAUUAGAUACCCU
rnacentral:rRNA from 1 species